rnacentral:snoRNA from 1 species
UGGAGUCAAAGUGGCAUUUUUGGGAACUCUUAUCCGAUCUGUGUCUCAAAUACUCCAAUAACAACCAAGACGAACGGCAUCCUGAAUAGAUCAUCGUACUAUAUCAGAUGACUUGUGUUCGUGUACAU